AUUGAACGCUGGCGGAAUGCUUUACACAUGCAAGUCGAACGGCAGCGCGGGUGCUUGCACCUGGCGGCGAGUGGCGAACGGGUGAGUAACAUAUCGGAACGUGCCCAGUAAUGGGGGAUAACUAAUCGAAAGGUUAGCUAAUACCGCAUACGCCCUGAGGGGGAAAGCGGGGGAUCGUAAGACCUCGCGUUAUUGGAGCGGCCGAUAUCUGAUUAGCUAGUUGGUAGGGUAAAGGCCUACCAAGGCGACGAUCAGUAGCUGGUCUGAGAGGAUGAUCAGCCACACUGGGACUGAGACACGGCCCAGACUCCUACGGGAGGCAGCAGUGGGGAAUUUUGGACAAUGGGCGAAAGCCUGAUCCAGCCAUUCCGCGUGAGUGAAGAAGGCCUUCGGGUCGUAAAGCUCUUUCGGCAGGAACGAAACAGUGCUCCCUAAUACGGAGUGCUAAUGACGGUACCUGGAGAAGAAGCACCGGCUAACUACGUGCCAGCCGCCGCCGUAA
rnacentral:rRNA from 1 species